GGCCCUACACUGGAACAGGCCACUGAGGAGGAGGAAGAUGAUGAUGAGGCGGCAUUUAGUGACGACGAGCCAGAAUACAUUUUUGUCCGUCGCCAACCAGUGGAGGAGACACCUGUGCCAAUGAUUUAUGGGGGCCCUAGACAGGGGCAAGAUAGGUGGGCUGGCCCAGAAGCGGGCAGGCAGCAGCCCACUUAUACAAGAGAACAGUUGCAGCGUGCCAUUCUGCUCCUGCGGGUGGUGGUCCACCUCUUAGUGGACCACUUUUUUAAUUUCUUAUUAAGAU